rnacentral:piRNA from 1 species
UAAAAGCCCAUAUGUGUUUACAUCAGA